AAGGGACAGGUGAGUCAUCGAAUCUUUGAACGCAUCUUGCGCCCUUUGGUAUUCCGAAGGGCAUGCCUGUUUGAGUGUCAUGAAAACAUCAUCCCAUCGGGUUUCCGAUGACGAUGGAUUUGGGUGUUGCCGUCCGGCUCGCCUCAAAAGCCUUAGUGAUUCCGAGGUCGAAUCUGGCGUAAUAAGUUUCGCUGGCCAAGACUGAGAGGACCGCUCAUAACCCGUCUUCUGACAUUUUUUGCUCUGACCUCAAAUCAGGUAGGACUACCCGCUGAACUUAAGCAUAUCAAUAAGCGGAGG
rnacentral:misc_RNA from 1 species